GGCCUCGUAGCUCAGCUGGUAGAGCGUGCGCGUGCAAAGCCUAGACGGCGUCCAUGUGUGGGUUCCAAUCCCACCGAGGCUA
rfam:Echinostoma caproni strain Egypt genome assembly, scaffold: ECPE_contig0000865